AUGUUUAGCCGUAAAAAAUUAAAUUACACCCAAAAUCGCCAGAGAAUUACGAGCGCAAGCUUAAAACUCAAAGGACUUGACGGUGUCCCAUCUACCUAGAGGAGCCUGUUCUAUAAUCGAUAAUCCACGAUGAACCUCACCACCUUUAGCCAUAUUACCAGCCUGUAUACUUCCGUCGCAAGCUUACCAUGUGAAUGCACUAGUGAGCAAAAAGGUCCUACACACCAGAACGUCAGGUCAAAGUGCAGCCAAUAAGGUGGAAAGAAAUGGGCUACAGUUUCUUUAUAUAAGAACACACGAAAAACUAAUUGAAACCCAGUGAUAGAAGGAGGAUUUAGCAGUAAAAUGAAAAUAGAAUAUUCAUUYUAAUUUAGCCCGGGGACKUGUAC
rnacentral:rRNA from 1 species